rnacentral:rRNA from 1 species
AUGCACGCUGGCGGCGUGCCUCAUCCAUGCAAGUCGCGCGAACAGACGAGGAGCUUGCUCCUCUGACGUUAGCGGCGGACGGGUGAGUAACACGUGGAUAACCUACCUAUAAGACUGGGAUAACUUCGGGAAACCGGAGCUAAUACCGGAUAAUAUAUUGAACCGCAUGGUUCAAUAGUGAAAGACGGUUUUGCUGUCACUUAUAGAUGGAUCCGCGCCGCAUUAGCUAGUUGGUAAGGUAACGGCUUACCAAGGCAACGAUGCGUAGCCGACCUGAGAGGGCGGGCGGCGGCACGAGAAGGGGACAGGGGGCCGGGGGACUAAGGGAGGCCGGAGAAGCGAAGGGGAGGGAAUGGGGGGAAGCGGGUCGGAACGGGGUGACGUUGGAGAAGAAAAGCGGGGGAUCGUAAAACCCGCUUAUUAGGGGAAAACAAAUGGCUAAGCACCGAUACCCGUGUGGACGGUAACUGGUAAAAAAGCAACGGCUAACUACGUG